CCGCUGAAGACAGAAGAGUGGUUUCUGUUGAAGGUACCGCAGUAGAAGUCACGGAAAGCAGCAUCAACCUUGAAGAGGAGGUCGUACCCAUUGGAGCCAAAGGAGAAGGUCCUAAAUCCAACCCAGAUCCUUGGGAUUACAUUCUCAUCAAAAUCAGCCCAUGCCACGACCUUUCAGCACGAGUGGGACUGCAGCCUGUAUUAGGAAUGAGGCUCAGUCAUUGCCGCAGAGGUUAUAAAGCAGACGGAGAUCAGUGCUGAGGAUGCACCAAGCCACGUGGGAAGAGAUUUGGGAUGGAAGAGUGCUGGCGGAUUUAGAACCUGACCUCCUGGGUGACUCUUGACUUCUGAAAACCAAGAGGCAUCAGCCCCCUCUCCGUGAAUUACAGCCCAGUCUGGCAGGUUCUACUGAGGAUGAAGAGUACAAUGUUUGGGUGAAGAUGGAGUCCACUGUCCUCCAG